UCUCCUGGGAAACGGGUGGUAAUACCGGAUGCUCCGCUCCAUCGCAUGGUGGGGUGGGAAAUGCUUUUGCGGCAUGGGAUGGGGUCGCGUCCUAUCAGCUUGUUGGCGGGGUGAUGGCCCACCAAGGCGUUGACGGGUAGCCGGCCUGAGAGGGUGACCGGCCACAUUGGGACUGAGAUACGGCCCAGACUCCUACGGGAGGCAGCAGUGGGGAAUAUUGCACAAUGGGCGCAAGCCUGAUGCAGCGACGCCGCGUGCGGGAUGGAGGCCUUCGGGUUGUAAACCGCUUUUGUUCAAGGGCAAGGCACGGUUUCGGCCGUGUUGAGUGGAUUGUUCGAAUAAGCACCGGCUAACUACGUGCCAGCAGCCGCGGUAAUACGUAGGGUGCGAGCGUUAUCCGGAUUUAUUGGGCGUAAAGGGCUCGUAGGCGGUUCGUCGCGUCCGGUGUGAAAGUCCAUCGCCUAACGGUGGAUCUGCGCCGGGUACGGGCGGGCUGGAGUGCGGUAGGGGAGACUGGAAUUCCCGGUGUAACGGUGGAAUGUGUAGAUAUCGGAAAAAAACACCA
rnacentral:rRNA from 1 species